AACUCUACAAUGCAGGCAACUGCGAUAGGGGAACAUCGAGUGAUACUCAUCUUGGGUGUCUGUCCUCCCGUCUAAAAGACGGGAGUUAGCAAGGGCCGGGCAAGACCGGUGCCAGCCGCCGCGGUAAUGCCGGCGGCUCGAGUGGUGGCCGAUAUUAUUGAGUCUAAAGGGUCCGUAGCCGGCUUUGCAAGUCUUUUGGGAAAUCCAGCGGCUUAACCGUUGGGCGUCCGGGAGAUACCACAUUGCUUGGGACUGGGAGAGGUAGGAGGUACUCAGGGGGUAGGAGUGAAAUCCUGUAAUCCUUUGGGGUCCACCGGUGGCGAAGGCGUCCUACCAGAACAGGUCCGACGGUGAGGGACGAAAGCUAGGGGCACGAACCGGAUUAGAUACCCGGGUAGUCCUAGCCGUAAACGAUGCUCGCUAGGUGUCACAACAAUCGUGAAUUGUCGUGGUGCCGUAGGGAAGCCGUGAAGCGAGCCACUUGGGAAGUACGACCGCAAGGUUGAAACUUAA
rnacentral:rRNA from 1 species